rnacentral:rRNA from 1 species
GACUUCUGGUUUAAUGCACCUGGCCCGCGGCUCUUUAGGCUUGUGAGAUUUACUUUGAAAAAAUUAGAGUGUUUAAAGCAGGCUAUUUGCUAUGAAUUACAUUAGCAUGGAAUCAUAAUCUAGGACUUCGGUUCUAUUAGAACUGAAGUAAUGAUUGAUAUGGAUAGUUGGGGGUGCUAGGAUUGGCCGGUCAGAGGUCAAGACCAACUUAUGCGAAAGCAUUCACCAAGGAUGUCUUCUUCUGUCUCUUAU